UGGGCAAAGUUGGUUGAGAAGU
rnacentral:miRNA from 1 species